rnacentral:rRNA from 1 species
AGUCAUGACUAGUACGGCGAGUGAAGCGGCAACAGCUCAAAUUUGAAAUCUGGCUCUUUUAGAGUCCGAGUUGUAAUUUGCAGAGGGCGCUUUGGCUUUGGCAGCGGUCCAAGUUCCUUGGAACAGGACGUCACAGAGGGUGAGAAUCCCGUACGUGGUCGCUGGCUAUUGCCGUGUAAAGCCCCUUCGACGAGUCGAGUUGUUUGGGAAUGCAGCUCUAAAUGGGAGGUACAUUUCUUCUAAAGCUAAAUAUUGGCCAGAGACCGAUAGCGCACAAGUAGAGUGAUCGAAAGAUGAAAAGCACUUUGGAAAGAGAGUCAAACAGCACGUGAAAUUGUUGAAAGGGAAGCGCUUGCAGCCAGACUUGCUUACAGUUGCUCAUCCGGGUUUUUACCCGGUGCACUCUUCUGUAGGCAGGCCAGCAUCAGUUUGGGCGGUAGGAUAAAGGUCUCUGUCACGUACCUCCUUUCGGGGAGGCCUUAUAGGGGAGACGACAUACUACCAGCCUGGACUGAGGUCCGCGCAUCUGCUAGGAUGCUGGCGUAAUGGCUGUAAGCGGCCCGUCUUGAACCAACGGGACC